GGGGAUAUAGCUCAGCUGGUAGAGCGUCGCAUUCGCAUUGCGAAGGCCGCCGGUUCGAAUCCGGCUAUCUCCACCA
rnacentral:tRNA from 1 species